CUUCAAUCCAUCGAACAAUUUUCAUACAUAUUUUCUUAUUUAUAUGAGAAAAUUGAUUCCCGCACCCUGCCACAAUGAAAAUCGGGUUUGUCGUCAUUUUCGCCAUGUCGCUGAUCUUUUCAACCGCUGCUCAGGGCCCACCCGGUAUCUGUUCGACCCUGGGAGACGCUUGCCGUGACGAUGGUGGGACACCGGUUGGAUGUGAGGAUAUCGUAGCCGAUUCCAUAAUUUGUGUCAAUCCAUAGAUUGGCACUUUCGACGACAGUUGCCGCUCCUUUGCACCAAGCUGUGCAGUCGUAACGGUUGGGUUUCAGCACACGUGCACGUGCCCCGGUGAAUGACAAAAUGCAUUUGGAAGUUUGAAUUCUUGAGGAUUAUAUGGCAAUGAAUAAAUCUGAACAAAAAUUAAAUAAAUCAAAUUAUAUAAGCAAUACCAUUCUACGAUUACGUUAUGUACUCACAAUGGAGAGGUGGUUAUCGCCAAUAUGGACCGGACUAAUUUUAAACUACUCACUUUCAGAAAUAAGCCCACCCGUAUUUUUCGUUUUCCUGAAUGGGCAUGUUUAUGUCAGUGGCGGAAUUUUCCAAAAAAAAUCAGAAUUUUAAAAUCAUUCAUAUCCUAUUAAUCACUCUGACUUCUUAUUUAUUAGCAUCCCUGGGUAUGAAACGUGACGAGGUUAAGUGUCGUGUGGGGGGAUGAAAUAGAUGAAAACAAAGGCAAGAAUGGUAAUUCGAUAUUUAUACUCCAAAAUACAAGUUAUCCCGCUACUUUGUAGCGAAAUUGGGACCUGCCGAGAUGCGUCGGAUCUGAUUGGGAAGCAGGGAUGACCCACAGGACUUG